UACGUAGGGACCGAGCGUUGUCCGGAUUCAUUGGGCGUAAAGAGCUCGUAGGCGGUGUGUCGCGUCGGCCGUGAAAACCUGCAGCUUAACUGUGGGCUUGCGGUCGAUACGGGCAUCACUGGAGUUCGGCAGGGGAGACUGGAAUUCCUGGUGUAGCGGUGAAAUGCGCAGAUAUCAGGAGGAACACCGGUGGCGAAGGCGGGUCUCUGGGCCGAUACUGACGCUGAGGAGCGAAAGCGUGGGGAGCAAACAGG
rnacentral:rRNA from 1 species